UGAACGCUGGCGGCGUGCCUAAUACAUGCAAGUCGAGCGAACAGACGAGGAGCUUGCUCCUCUGACGUUAGCGGCGGACGGGUGAGUAACACGUGGAUAACCUACCUAUAGGACUGGGAUAACUUCGGGAAACCGGAGCUAAUACCGGAUAAUAUAUUGAACCGCAUGGUUCAAUAGUGAAAGACGGUUUUGCUGUCACUUAUAGAUGGAUCCGCGCCGCAUUAGCUAGUUGGUAAGGUAACGGCUUACCAAGGCAACGAUGCGUAGCCGACCUGAGAGGGUGAUCGGCCACACUGGAACUGAGACACGGUCCAGACUCCUACGGGAGGCAGCAGUAGGGAAUCUUCCGCAAUGGGCGAAAGCCUGACGGAGCAACGCCGCGUGAGUGAUGAAGGUCUUCGGAUCGUAAAACUCUGUUAUUAGGGAAGAACAAAUGUGUAAGUAACUAUGCACGUCUUGACGGUACCUAAUCAGAAAGCCACGGCUAACUACGUG
rnacentral:rRNA from 1 species